AUGGGAACGCGAAGAACCUUACCUAGACUUGACAUCUCCUGAAUUACUCUGUAAUAGAGGAAGCCCUUCGGGGCAGGAAGACAGGUGGUGCAUGGUUGUCGUCAGCUCGUGUCGUGAGAUGUUGGGUUAAGUCCCGCAACGAGCGCAACCCUUAUUGUUAGUUGCUACCAUUAAGUUGAGCACUCUAGCGAGACUGCCCGGGUUAACCGGGAGGAAGGUGGGGAUGACGUCAAAUCAUCAUGCCCCUUAUGUCUAGGGCUACACACGUGCUACAAUGGCUGGUACAGAGAGAUGCUAAACCGCGAGGUGGAGCCAAACUUUAAAACCAGUCUCAGUUCGGAUUGUAGGCUGAAACUCGCCUACAUGAAGCUGGAGUUGCUAGUAAUCGCGAAUCAGAAUGUCGCGGUGAAUACGUUCCCGGGUCUUGUACACACCG
rnacentral:rRNA from 1 species